rnacentral:ncRNA from 1 species
GGCACUCCACGUGGCGAUUUGUUCACCGGAUUGCGGGCCACGUUAAAAACUCCGCUAAAGAGGUCGGUCGCGGACCGUC